CUCCCUCGCCGGCCGCCUCCCCUCGACCUACCCUGCAUCCCGGAGCGCGCCCCUCACCGCUCGCCUGAGAUCCUCCGUCCCGGCACGCCGCCCCUCACCAGUCACCACUCUCCUGCGACCCUCCAUCCCGGCGCACCGUCCCUCGUCACCACUCCCCUGAUACCCUGCAUCCCGGCGCGCCGCCCCUCGUCAUCGCUCGCCUGCGACCAACUGCGUCUACUACCUCCGCACGGGGGCCUGCGGCUAUGGGAAGAGCUGCAGCUACAACCACCCUCGCGAUCGCGCCGCCGCGGUGAGCCGGGCCGCUUCUCUUGUCCCAAUUUUGUUGCCCCCAUCAUGCUCUGCUUCACUUCAAUCUAGUUGGGGAUUGGUACUUACGACUUGCCAAUCCCUGAUAAUGAACGACAGACUGAAUUACAGCUGGUUGGUGUGGAGGGGAGCUUCCAGCUAAAGCCUCUUUCUGUGAUUGAAUUGAUUCUAGUUGUGGCUUAGGAGCUUGUCACCAGUCCAUGGAAGUGAACUUGAUUGUGCAGUCGUUGGUUCCUGUUGUUGAUUAUGUGAUUGACUGAUUGUAUAAUAGGGCUUGUUGUCUUAUUCUCGUGGUUGAUGUUGAUUAUUCAAAGUUCCACUUUCUGCUUACGGUGCCACUUGCUUAUGUUGUAGGCCUGAUCAUUCACACCGUCAUAUGGUCAUAUUUGUUUCCGAGACUUCAGAGCAGCUCGGUCAACUAGGCCGCUGGGACGCUGGGGGAGAAGGACAUCGGUGCAGAGCAUGGCAAAGCCGAGUACUUGUUGGAUCUGAGGGCUUCUGAUCCACAGUUCUCCGCAUGAUCAUCCAUCAGCAUCUAGUGACAUUAACACUCAGCCGCAUAAGGCUUUCUCCCCACUAUAGUUGGAGUUCAAGAGCGUAAGGAAGGUAAUCUGUUGAUCAAUUACUGUUGCUUGUCACAAAACUCUGAAAAAUAUUACUGAGUACAUCUACAACGAGCUAUGCUUGCCAUUUAAAAAUAUGCUUAUGUGAGCUGUGUGUCAUAUCAAUUUUUUUAUGCAAGAAGAUCUUGCGAUUUACUUAUGAUUUAUGAACAGAAAUUGUUUACUGCGUAACCCCUAAAUACAGUAGAAGAGAAACAAAUCUUAUAAAACUAUGCUGAGACGAGUAGUACUUAUUUAGUCAAGUGACAUGUUAGAUAAAAUUCCACACCUAUUACAACUUAUCUGACUUCUGUAUUUUUUAAUGAUAGCUGAACUAGAUUGUGUUCCAGGAAUACAAAAUCAUGGAUGUUUUCCAUUUAUUCACUUGGCUAUUGGAAUUUGGUUGAUGUCCCCUUCUCCUAUUAUUAACAACAUAUACCUACACGGUUCUGUCUGCUGGUUUGCCAAAUUCUAGACACUUCUUUUGUGGUUCGUGCUUCCGCUUUAUACCAUGCUUGCCUACAUCCGUAGUGUCACUCCUUUAUUCUCUUGAUGUGCUUUUCCUUUACAAGGAAGAAUACACACCAUGAGGAAAAGAGAAGUAAAAUUGUAGCAUAUGGCAACUUUAUAAAUACUAACAUGUUUCUGAUUCAUCAUGAGGUCAUGUACUGAUGGAUUGCAAAAAGAAAAAGAAAAAUAAUGUCAAUUGUUUCUAUAUCACUUUAAUUGGCAUGGUCCAUCUGUAGUGUCGUUCAAUUAUUAGACCACAUUCAAUAUUAUUUUUUGGAUGCCUGCAACUUCCAACUAAAUAGAUCGCCGUAUCUAUGUCUGAUUUGUAUUUGUAGUCUACAAACAAGACAUCCUAAUUAUUUGUUCGAACAUACUACAGUCUUGUUUUCUCUGCCGUGUCUUCUCCUUUUCUUAAUAGUGUCACUGCCUUUGAUUUAUCUGCUCAGAUGUGCUAUUUAGAGUUUGAUCUGGAUAUAUACUAGCUAUUUUAUUAGGAGUUGGUGGUAAAGAUGAACUAAUGGUUGAUCCGCCCUGCUGUCCAUGCUGCACUUCAUGCAAAAUCAUUGGGUCGGUACUGGGAGUACUUCAUUUAUGAUAGAUCUUAUGCUUCAAAGCUUCUUUUUAUUGUCUAAUAUGUUUUAUUUGCACUAAUUUGGUAAAUUUAUUUUAUCUUUUGGCUUAAUAUGUCCCAGGUAUUGAUAUAGUAAUAUUUUUUUACUUGGUUAAUGGCCAAACAUACUGCUUCAGUAUCUUCCGGUAGGUGCCUCAGAAUUAUGCAGUUGAUCAUACCAUACUGCUACUUGAAUAAAAAUGUCUUAUCUUUGUGUUCUACACUGAAGCUAUCAUAUGAAGUUUAAUUAUUUUCAGCGUCCAUCACCAAAACUACUUUGUUUGUAGUGAAAGGCUUCAUAGAAUUUCAUAGAUGUUGCACAUCAUGAGAUUAACCUGUAGAUGUAUUCAUAACCAUAUAGUAGAGGGGAAGAUGCAAACACGACAUGUCUUGGCCUCUCAACCUUUUCUGUUAUAUGUCACGUUUCUAUUAAUUAUUUUGCUUGACAUGAUUCUUUCAAUGGUAACUUUGAUUUUCUCUAACAGGUAGGAACAAAAGUAUUUUUAAUGAGCCUAAAAAAUCGUAACACAUGUAGCUCUUGCUACAGUUGUAAGUUGUGAUCCUAAAUUUGAACUUGAUGGUGCUGAAAUUACUAAUGAAUUCUGGGUAGUGCAUGUUGAUAUGGCACUUGUGAGAACUGAAGAUUCGGUACGGAGUCGCAAAAACUGCAAUACUCUUGGUAAUGCAGAUUUGUUUUUGCAUCUCAACCUUUGUAAAUUCAAAAGAUAAAUGGAUGAUUCUAUUGGUGUGUGUGGCAAGUAUACUACAAGGAUGAUGAUGAUGAUGUUCCUGUUCAUGAUGAUGAAGACGGAUGGUUUCAGUUUUAAUUAAGUUGUAGGGAUGAUGUUCCUCGAUUGUGUUUUAGUUACGUUGUAGGGAUGUUUAUGGAUGCUUUCAAUUUAAGUUUCGCCGUCAAGAAACAUUUAGAUUAUACUUCCCAUUUGGAUGAUUUUUCUUGUGUAAUAUGCAGUAUUGUAAUCCAACAGUUUUAUUUAAUAUAUGAUUUCUUCCUCC